AGAGUUUGAUCCUGGCUCAGAAUCAACGCUGGCGGCGUGCCUAACACAUGCAAGUCGAACGCGAAAGUCCCGCAAGGGAUGAGUAGAGUGGCAAACGGGUGAGUAACACGUGGGUGACCUGCCUUCGAGCGGGGGAUAACGUCCCGAAAGGGACGCUAAUACCGCAUGACAUCCUGCCUUUGAAGAGGCGGAGAUCAAAGCUGGGGAUCGCAAGACCUAGCACUUGAAGAGGGGCCCGCGCCUGAUUAGCUAGUUGGUGGGGUAACGGCUCACCAAGGCAACGAUCAGUAUCCGGCCUGAGAGGGCGGACGGACACACUGGGACUGAGACACGGCCCAGACUCCUACGGGAGGCAGCAGUGGGGAAUUGUUCGCAAUGGGCGCAAGCCUGACGACGCAACGCCGCGUGGAGGAUGAAGACCUUCGGGUCGUAAACUCCUUUCGAUCGAGACGAAUGGCUUCCGGGUGAAUAACCCGGGAGUAUGACGGUACCGAGAGAAGAG
rnacentral:rRNA from 1 species